UACGUAGGGGGCUAGCGUUGUCCGGAAUCAUUGGGCGUAAAGCGCGUGUAGGCGGUCCGGUAAGUCCGCUGUGAAAAGUCGGGGGGCUCAACCCUCGGAUGCCGGUGGAUACUGUCGGGCUUGAGUACGGAAGAGGCGAGUGGAAAUUCCUGGUGUAGCGGUGAAAAUGCGCAGAUAUCAGGAGGAACACCAAUUGCGAAGGCAGCUCGUGGGACUUAACUGAGCUGAGACGCGAAAGCGUGGGGGAGCAA
rnacentral:rRNA from 1 species